rnacentral:snoRNA from 1 species
UCUUUGUAACGCAUCAACAGAUCUUGCUUACCCUUCACUGUGUACUCAGUAGAAUAGAAAGGAAGGGAAGA